UUUGUUAACGUGCCUGCUAGACUGCAGUCGUAUCAAGUGACCGUAACUUGCUCCCUUAGGUCAGCGGCGGACGGGUGAGUAACACGUGGGUCACCUGCCUGUAAGACUGGGAUAACUCCGGGAAACCGGGGCUAAUACCGGAUGCUUGAUUGAACCGCAUGGUUCAAUCAUAAAAGGUGGCUUUUAACUACCACUUACCGAUGGACCCGCGGCGCAUUAACUAGUUGGUGAGGUAACGGCUCACCAAGGCGACGAUGCGUAGCCGACCUGAGAGGGUGAUCGGCCACACUGGGACUGAAACACGGCCCAGACUCCUACGGGAGGCAGCAGUAGGGAAUCUUCCGCAAUGGACGAAAGUGGUGACGGAACAACGCCGCGUGAGUGAUGAAGGUUUUCGGAUCGUAAAACUCUGUUGUUAGGGAAAAACAAUACCGUUCCAAUAGGGCGGUACCUUGACGGUACCUAACCCGAAAAGCCACGGCUAACUACGUGCCCACAGCCGCGGUAAUACGUAGUGGCAAGCGUUGUCCCGAAUUAUUUGGGCGUAAAGCGCGCGCAGGCGGUUUCUUAAGUCUGAUGUGAAAAGCCCCCGGCUCCAACCGGGGAGGGUCAUUGGAAACUGGGGAACUUGAGUGCCGAAGAAGAAAGUGGAAUUCCACGUGUACCGGUGAAAUGCCGUAAAAAUGUGGAGGAACACCACUGGGCGAAGGCGAAUCUCUGGUCUGUAAUGACGCUGGAGCCGAAACGUGGGGAACGAAACGGAUUAAAAACCUGGUAGCCCCUGCCGUAAACCGAUGAGUGCUAGUGUAGAGGGUUUCCGCCCUUUAAUGCUGCCGCAAUGCAUUAGACCUCCCGCCCUGGGGGAGAU
rnacentral:rRNA from 1 species